CAGAAGGGAUCAGAGCUGAGCUUGAAAGCCCCCCAUUGCCGUCCAGGGCUCGGAUCAGCCCCAAAACUGCUCUCCGGCACCCCCAGUGCGAAGGGAUCUGAGGGCGCUCAGGAUCUGACGUGUUUUACCAAACCACACUCUUCAGGACUUGGCUGCUUAGUUCACAAGCAGUGCUGAACAGUCACAGCACCACUGUUGUCUUUGGAAGCGUUUAAUCCCACUGCCUGCAGAGCCAUUGUGCUCCUCGGAGUGUUUACAAGCGGUGGAAAGGCGAGCCCCGGAGGGGACCGCGUGCUGGCUGUUCUUCCUGGAGGAGACACGCAGAAGAAUAAUGAAAUAUUUCCAAUUUAUGGACGCGGGGCACCCUGCAGUGGGACAUGUUCCCGGUCGGAAAGGGAUGUGCUGGAGAACGUCCCCUUCCCCUGCGUUUCCCAUCGCCUGCGCAAUUUUCUCACUGCCCAGCCCAUAAACAAGCGGAAGGAGCAGCUUCCCUCCAGGGAUGCGUGGACAGAAACCUUCCUGGUCCAUCGCAGCUCCUUCGGUGUCUUCACCUGAGCUCCUCGGUGGCCCUGCUGCAGCUGCAGCUCGUGUCUGUCCCCGUGGGAUGCCCUUGCUGGAUGGGGCAUACAGGAACAAAUUUAAACAUUUAGGACCCUAGUAUCUUAAGUGACACUGCACAUCGACAUUCGUACAGCAAAAUUGACUUUAAAGGGAACAGAAAUAGAGCACACGGAGGCAUGGAAGCAUGGAAUGGUUGGAAGGGACCUUAAAGGUCAUCCAGCUCCAACCCAUGGGCAGGGACACCUCCCACUGGAAGACUUCUUGUGGACAUCUCUAUAGGGGAUUUAUUGGAUAAGCUAAAUCACCUCCCAGCUUCACUAUAGAGGAAAGAUGCUCAUGGCUUGAAACUGAUGGGGCUGGGAAUGGGACGGUGGGGACCGCAGAGGAGCCAGGCGCCGUGGGGACAAAUUAUGGCAUGGCUGCAUGCUCUCUGCAGCCAGCACCGAGCUCGAAUCGCUGCUGACUGCUGCUUUCUGAGCUGCUCCUCACCUCUGGGCCCUCUGUUCCCAGAACAUCUUCCGCAAUCGCUCCCCAGAGGUACGGGGAAUCCUGGACACUUUGCAGCCGGGAUUUCAGGGAACGGCGUUGGCACGCUGGGCCGUUAAUUGCAGCUUUUCUCCAGCUUCCUGGAAACAGUAAAGCUGUAAUUUCCUCCGAGCCUGCCUGUCAUUACCACCACGGUCCCAGAGCAACACUUUGCCUCGUGUGCCAAGAUGCCUUCAGCGUUGCUUAAGGAUGAACCCCAGCGUGGACCCCAGGCUGUGUUGCUUCACUGCCGGAGAUGACCGACACGAGGACUCUGCCUCUGCCUGCUCCGGGUGCAGGAAAAUGGUCCAACAGGGCUCGGUGCAAGACCUAGAAUCAUAGAAUCAUAGAAUAUCCCGAGUUGGAAGGGACCCAUAAGGAUCAUCGAGUGUCUCGGUGAUCUUCCUGUAACCCAGACGGAUCUCAGCUGUUUGCUCCCAGAUUUCACCGACUCCGUCUCUGCUGCGCACAUACCUGCUAGCACCAAGGUCUGCUCAGGACCACUGAUGUGCAGCACAAAGGAUCAAGACAGCGAAAUAUCCAGUCCCCCCCAUCUCUCUCGGAUACCUCCUGACUGGCAAAGACAGGCUGUUUUUUGGAAAGAGGUGUGUAAGGGGUAUUUUUUGCCUCAAAAUCUUGCCUGGUUUGGCUUCUGUGAAUCUAAGCUUCUGCAAAGCUUCUUGCCUGCGUUCAGCACAGCUCCAUCGUGUCCCCGAGGGGAUAGGGUGUGCUGCCACCUCCAUGCCAGCCUCCUGCUGCCAUUGCUGGCCUGCAUCAGGGGCAGUGGUGUGAGCAGUGUGAGAGGCGUGAGCAGUGUGAGAAGCGUGAGCAUUGUGAGAGGUGUGAGCGGUGUGAGCAGUGUGAGAGGUGUGAGCGGUGUGAGAGAGCAGUGUGAGAGGUGUGAGCAGGACCCACACCCGGGUGGGAGCGAGGCUUUCCCCAGUGCUCCCAGUUCAUUUCCUGCUGGUGCUCCCAUUUCUCAGCCUCCCAACCCCAGCAUCCCCAUCACAGACCCCCGCGGGGGCACAAGGGCGCACCCAAGGGUGCACAGCUGGUGCCCAUGCCGGAAGCACUUAGAGGAGACAAAGAGAGGAGACCUUCCUCUGUACCCUGCUUCUCUGGAGGCUGUCUGAAAGCAGCAAGACACAUCAGCUGCAAGGAGUGUUGUGCUUGGCUAUGGGGACCCGUUCCUCUCUGCCACCCGUCCUCCGUCCCCUUGUUCCUACAAACUCUGCCGUGCUCGUCCUGCUCUCCGUGCCACCCCUGGCAUUGCAGAUGCAGCCUCUGUACCUUCAGGGUCCUUCACGGGUGUCCUUGUCCACCCUGGUGGCCUCUUAGCCCCAGGACACCACUUUAUCCACAUCUCCACGUUUUCUCCAGGGUUGCCUGGUAGAAAAUCUCUGCAAAUCUUUGCAGGUUUCUCUCCAUGUGGGUGCCGUUUGGAUAGGGCAGGUCACCAACGUGCAGCAAGGUCGUGGUGCUGGGAGAAGCAGGAGAUGGGGAUGGAGAGGAGGGAAACCUUUAUUUAACAGCUCGUAUAACAGCCAGAAGAUUGCAAAGUCAAGUUGAUUUUUUUUUUUUUUUUUUUUUUUUUUUUUUCCCCUGAGGUUUGCUUGGAAAAUUAUAACGGUGUGCAGAGCUUGGAACCAUCUCAGGUUCUGGUCUCCUUAGCAAAUGACAUUUUAACUAGGAAAGUGAGGUGAGAGGGAUUAAAAUGUUAUGACAGCCUUUAUCGGCGCUGUCUGAAAGCACUCGUGUCCUUCAGCGCCCUGAAAGCAACAGAUUAGGACGAAGCUGGGAAUAUUCUCAAUGACGCAGUGUCAGCCCUUAUCAGAUCGGGGGAUAAGGGGUGUUGUUCUCUCGCCGCAGUGAUUUCAAAGCCUUCGACAACAAGCUCCCGCACGAGUUUGUUAUGAGUGCAUUAAGCCCCAAAAGAUGAAUUUCAUAUUUCAAGAGUAAUCAUUACUCAACCUGUCUCCAAACACAGAAGAGGCUUCCUGAUUUAUUCCGCUCUGCUUGUCUUGGACCUUCAAGUAAGCAAAGCUGGAAAAAAAGAAGGGAGGGCACUCAGAAAUAAGUAGGGAAACGUACUCAGUUUGGCAAUACUGGGACAAAGUUUUCUGUCUCAAGGCGCAAGGGAUUGUUUCUUCUCCGCAGAGCACAGCAAGUGAAUUCUGGUGAAUGUCAUUUUAAUUUAAUUGACAUUAAAUUAAUUGAUGGGAGCUUAAAACCCCUGUAAGGAAGACCCCAACCUUCAGAUUUACUCUGGUGCAUUCAGGCAGCUGCCGUCUCCCCAUGUCCUUGCAUGCUCCAGCCAAGGGACAAGGAGGUCACGCCAGGCAUGGGAUGCUCCUUCCACAACUCGUUAAUUCAUUUUUUUUUUUCCAAAAGUGUUUGGAGAUGUAGAAAGGCUUGUACAUGGCAGGCCCUCUGUGAUGCUCAGUGUCACCACUCAGGGACAGCUGUUGUACGACUGCAGUUUGCUUGGGAAGGUGGAACUCUUUAGAGACUCUGUAGAAAAUACAAAUUUGGGGUUGAUCGCUUUUACGCAGUGGAGAGGUAUCUCUGUCACUUCUUCAGCUGGGUGCAGCAGGAGCAGCUCAGACCCUACCCGAAGCCACGAAUCUCUUGGCCCUCUCUUCUCCUCUCAUUGGGGAUGAGAGAAAAGGCAGGUGACCCGUUCUUCACAAUAUUUCUGCAUCAGACCUCAACCUAAGACCCGGGAAGCAGCACCAGAUCAUACAAAUAGGUGUGAUUCAUUGAUCCUCUACCUGCUGCAGGACCACAGGGUCCGUAACCUUCCCAUGGACACGUUCAGGGGUGGUCUAUGUUAACUGAGACACCACGGGGGCUGUGCUGUUGGAGUGUCAGAGCCUGAAAUCAGCUCCCACACCUCCCUGGUGCUGGGGUUGGAGGCCUGGAUGAAAUCUGGGACCCAUCUGCUUGCAGCUCCCAGGCUGCUCUCCCCGGACCCGGAGGUGUGAUGGAAACCCACAGAGCAGGUAACCUGCCCGAGACAUUGGCCACAGCAGAACCCCAAAUGCAGGUUUUCCUGCUCCCUACCUGUCCGAUGCUUCAUCGGAUGAGCUUUUCUCUCCUUUUGCAUUUGCAACCAUACCUGAUGCUAUUGGGAACAUAACAUUUAUGUGGAUCUUGCAUCCUUUUAACACUCAAAUAAAGUCUUGGGUCAUUAUUGGGAUUUAUUAGCUUGGGAACAGACCUUCCCUCUGUUCCUCUGCUCCUCUCCACUUCUGUCACUGCCUUGUGCAGAGCCUGGAACUGCUUGGUUAGAAGGGCUCCAUGGGCUCAUCUCUAUUACAGUCUAAGGAAAGACGGUGCCCUACCGGCAGCCCCCUGGUUGAGGCUUUGGGUUAGGCUGGUGGGACGCCCUGCGUGAGCAGGGGUUGGCCCAGACAACCUCCAGAGGCCCCCCCCCCCCCAUUCUGGGAUCCUGCGUCUCUGGUACAGGCAUCUCCUGUUCCUAAAGCCUUCCACCGAUGGGGACCCAGGGCUUUGGAGUCUGCUCCCGCACCUCAUUGCAUUUAAUUUUUUUUUUCCCACUCCUCCACCUGCCUCUUCUCCCCUGCUGACGACUUCUGCACCCGAGCCCUCCUUCCCCGUUUGCUCUCCGCGUUGAAUCCCAGCCCAUCGAUUUCGGGACGUUUCUCCAAUUUGCCACGAAUGAUUUGAAUGCUAAUCCUGCCAUCUGCAGCACCGGUGACCUCAGGCAGAAGUUUUAUUAGCUCCUCUUUGUCUCAUUAUCCGAGUUGUUAAUUAAACUAUCGAUCGGUGCCAGAGACAGGACAGACCCUUGUGAGAUUCUGCUAGAUAAAUCCCUUUGGGUAGGCAGGAAACUACCCGUAACCCCUGGAAGGGAAGCUUCCCAAUUAUGCCUGCUCUUUUCCUCCUCUCUGCCUGGUAAUUUCUUAUGGCUGAUAAUUUUAUGAGAAUAUUUUGGGGUAGGGUCAAAAUCCUUACUGCAGUCAAGAUACUUCCCCAGGUGGGUCAGCUGCAUGCCCAGGCGAGAAAUUAAAUGUUUGAUGUGAUCUCUCUGUGGCAAUCCAUGGCAUUAUUCUCCAAGUGCUUGCAUGCUGAUUAAUUACUCCUUCAUUGUAUUUCUGGUGGUCAGGGUUAAGACGGGGGAUCUGCAUCUUCCUCAUUUCCCAGUUCUCCCUUUCUAAGAUCCUUCAGGAACCCUAACCUCUGUGAAAUGUGGGGUUAAUUGAUAGAGGUUCAGUAUUUGCUUUGCUGGUCUUCGCAGUAUCCUAGUGGGAAUUUACGAGAACCUCCUAAACCGGGUGUUCCUCCCUUUCAGACACACGUUUAUAUCCUCUGCCUUCCUCCUCCCCUGAUCUGGGACGGGGUUUUCUCUGGCUGCUUGCCCCAGUACCAAGCAAUGCCCAGGUGCUGGGAUUCUCCGUGUUUCUGCUACAAACCAUCUUUUUCUGAUGAGCAUUUUCCAGGAGCACAUUUCAGGUUGCCAGAGGCAGUGUGAGUAAAUGCUAAUGGAAACACUCAGGGGGUUGAUACAGGAUUAUAUUAUUUUUUUUGGUAUUUUGUGAGCAGUGACCAAGCCCACAUGGGACCAUCCGUAUCCCCCGUGAUGGAAAACCUGCUCCUCUAACAGCAGCAGGCGAGCAGGAGAAAUCCCCUGGGCUCUGAUUGCCGCGGGGAGGUGGCCAGGAGCACCGCGGGGGGGAGAACCAGCAGGGGUAAACAGACUGAGGGGGUGCUGGGUUAUUGAAAAGCUCCAGCUUUGCUCUUUUCCAGAAGAAUGAGCAUCGUGCUUAGCUAUAAGUAGCUCUCAGCUCUGUGAGUGCCUUGGAUCAGCUCAGACAGCCAGCGAAGAACCAGGUUCACUGAACCUUUGGCAGACUCUGCUGAUGGUUUUCUCCUCCUGAUGCUUUCCUCCUCCAGCCCGCAGGGACUGGAGCCAACAGUGACUAUUUGUGGGCUGAAGACGACAGCCUGGUGGACAAGCUAUUUAGUGGGAAGGGGUUAAAAUGCCACGGAUGGCACCAGUGCUGCUGUCCACAGCACGCAACUUGUUGGAAACCCUCACGGAGGUGGAGGUUUGGGGUGUGGGUUCCCCUGCUGCAAGCAAGGGCUUUAAUCACAGGGAAAUUGGUUGAAAUUGGAGCGAUUACUGAGUUUGCUGCUGCAUUGUGCUGCUCCCCACAGCCUCUCUCAUCCCUCCCCUGUAGUCGAGCAGUGCCAUGGACAUGGUGCCACCGGGUCCCCAGACUGAUGGGGGCUUGGAGGCGAAGCUGUGCCCGGCUGGGUGCUGCACAUGAAGAAACCAGAGGGAGCCCGAAGGUGGCAGUGAUGGAUUUAUUAGGUUUAGGAAACAUAAGCCUGAGCGAGAGGUUGGAUCUGUUGGGUUGGCUGACUCCAAAACAGGGGAAGGCCAAAGGGUGAUAGAUAAAUAAAAAUAAAGUUGUUGUCAAGAGGAGAACAACCAGGUUUUCCCCUGUGUCCCCCAAGGAAGGGCAGGAGGAAGUGUGCUAAUUUUGCAACAGAGAUUUGAGCAGGCUGGUCAGCCUCAUCUCACAGACAAGUAUGCAAUCAAGCCAGAAAUCUGUGGAAAGUUCAUUUCCUGGGCUAAAAUAAAACCACUCAGAGGUAUGAGCUGGGAACUGCCUGGGUGAGAGGGGACCCACCAAAAAGGAUUACAGUGCAUGCCAGGUUGAAUCCAGGCCAGCAGAGCUCUCAUAACGGGAAAGGCAAACCUCACGGGGGAUGGUUUGUCCCCUGUACUGGCCCAGUGAGACCACGCCAGGGAUGUGGUGGAAGUUUUGGGGCCCCCAGUUCAAGAGGGAUGGGGAAAAUCUGGAGAGGGUCUGGGGAGGACCUGGGGCACACGGUCGGUGAGAAGAGGUUGAGGAGCUGGGUCUGUGUAGGGUGCCCAAAAGGAUGCUGAGGGAGAUCCAAAGCCACCUGUGGCUGCCUGAAGGGCAGUGACAGAGGUGGAACUGAACUUUUCUCAGCCUCAGCAGGGGGCAUGGCAGGGGAAAACAGCCACAAGGAGGGUCUGGGAGGUUCAGGAGGAGCCCUUUUCACUAGAAAGGGGGUGCAGCCCUCAUCCAGUGCUGGUGCUGGUCCUGCCAGCCAAGUCUCUUACAACAGCUCUCUGAUUCCUGGUCCUCAGCUGAGCACUCGAUGGGCUCCUACGAUGCUCUAGUUGGCAGUUAUUAAAACUGGAAACUGCAUUGCACUGGACGCCAGCCACUGCAUUAAAAACAUAUGUAAAAAGAGCGUCACCAUACGAUGAAAAGAUGCUGUCUGUAGACCACAGAUGAAUAUGCAAGGGAUUGACAUAAACAGGGUGAUUUAGCGGUGGUGACUCUACAGAAAAGCAGGUCCCAGCCCUGGCGACGUUCUCCUGCAGAGCUACCUGUCUCUGCUCACUGCUUUCCUGCCUUUGCUGGAGCCUGUGUCCCGUGACAGCUUGCUCCUACUUGGCAAAGCUUUCUUCCUAGUUGGGGAAAUUGUCUUCCCUCCUGCUUUAAAUCAUCCUCUUGCCCCUGUGCAAUCCUUGCUGGCACAGGAAGCUUCGUUUUACCUUCAGGUCUGCAGCCCGUAGUGCUACAAAACACCCAGUGAAUCUAGCUCCUGGUCUGGAUGGCUUUGCUAUACCUGUGUUGUUAUAACUGAUCACCUUCAGCCUCCCUGGAGCACAAAGGAGCGAGACCUGAAGUCAGUGGAGCUAUGGCACAGCUGGAUUGACUUGUCUUAUCCUCCCCUAUGCAUUUUUUGGCUGCUGCCUAAGGUAGAUCCUUAAGUGGCUUGUAAAUCUCUUUUAAGCCAGCUCCAGGGGGAAAACUCUGGGGAGGAGCUGGCAGAGCACAGCAGCACAAGCCCCAGAUGCUGCACCUCACUUUGCUGCAAGCCCCCACCUGCUGCUUGCGCUGCAUUUGAUGUUCCUCCUCCUUCUCCUUCUUGUCCUCCUCCUCCUCACCUUGAGCACCUUGGCAAAAGCACCUUGCUUUUACCUCCCUCCCACUAGCAGCAGGAUUGAGCCUAUCCAAGCAGCCUUCCCUUUAUCUUCCCUUGCAACUCAGCCACUUCCAAGACAUUUCUUAAAGAGCUCAGAAGAAAAGAAGGGGAGAGGUGUUUUUAUUUCUCUUUAUAGAGCCUCCAGCCCAAAUUAAUGGAAACUGCAGCAGAAGAAAAAAAAUAAAAUAAAAAUAAAACUAAUAAUAGGCCUACAGCUGAUCACAAAGCUGAGAGCUGCUGUUUGCAAGUGCCUUGGCUGCUCACCCACAGAGAGCUCUCCUCUGAUGGAGGGGUUAUGAAGAAAGUCAGAAUUUCUCUGUACUGGACUGUGCAUUGCUUGAGAAAAAUCUCUGUAGGGUGUGAAAAUAUCGAUAUGAUGGCCUGGCCAUCGUGUGAGUGCCUUCUGCCUGCCCCAGGAGCCCAGGAAGCCCGGCCACCGCUGGGGCCGAGGGUUGGACUGAUCCUUGCAGCGUGGGAUGCAGCUGAAGAAACGAGCAAAAAUGAUGGCAGAGAUGUUGCAGAAGGACCGUGCUGGUGGACCAGGACUCCUGGACCUGUGCGGUGGCCUUUGGUGCUCCCGAGCAUGGUCCACAGGUGGGUGGGAGGUGCAGCCUUUUGGGCUCCAGCCCCUGCCCAAAUGGUUCUCCCUCCCCCAACCCAGGGGUACUCCUGGCUCAGCACAAUGCAGCCCUCAGCUUUUCACGCUGUAUGAAACAAACGGUGGUGUUGUUAGCUUGCUCUGGUUUGGAAAGUACCCUGGAGCAGCUUGAGGUUGGGCUGAACAAGGCAGGAAACCGCCUGCAAGCCGAGGACUUGCACUUAGUCAGGAAAGACCCUUCUCCUCCGCUGGGUACAGGGAGGGUGCCACAAACUCGCGGGCUGCCAGGAGCCAGAGAAACCACUCUGAACAUCGUGGUCUGCCUCUUCCCUCCUCCUGUCCAAAAAAACUCAUUCCUAUUCCACACCUGCUGACAACUUUGGUUUGGAAGCUUGUUUUACCUAGUCAUGACCUGAAAACUGAGAAUAGUGCAGACUCCCCCAGAUUUUGCUUUUUGAUGCUCGCGGUCAGAAUCACAUGGUCAUGCAGCAGUUCACGUGGGCAGUGGGAAAGGUGAAUAAAACCUCACCAGAGCCCAAAGCCAGGCAGAAAAGCGGGGGCUAAGCUGAGAGCCUGGAGCAGAGCCAUGGGAAGGGAAAGAGCAACAAUCUCUGAUAGAAUUACAGAAGGGUUUGGGUUGGAAGGGACCUUAAAGCCCACCCAGUCCCCUCCUGCCAUGGUCAGGCCCCCUGCCCCCAGCACACCCCAAACCUUAGCGUAGGACCAGCUGCCAGGCUGUGAGGAGUUAAUGGAUUUUCUCCACAGUUUAUUUCUUUUUCCCUCUGCAUAUUUGGGCUGAACUUAGAAGUUUUGGUUUUGCUACUGAAUUCCAAUCUGGAGCCAAAAAUUACAAGGUACCAAUGGUCUGUGAUGGGAUCAGCUGAUGGGAUCAGGCCACCAACACAAUCUGCUCUCGGGCGGAAAGGAGCCCUGAGAUGGAAAGAAUGCAGAAAAUAGGGGAAGCUGCACCAAAAUAAUACCAGGCUUGACCUUUGCCCUGUAAUUAGCGCUGCCUCUGACAGUAACCCCUUCAAGGAGCACAGCCAGGCUGUCUGCUCUGUGGGCAAACGCAUUAACCACAAGCUCUGCCCAGUCUGCAAAAGGGCUGGACUCCCCUUCUGGUCCUGCACCCCUGGGCAAAGUUCUGCCUUUCCCAAACCAGAAGAUGGGAAGGAACCUUAAUGCUUAUGUACUUCAAUAAGGUACUGUGGCAAGCAUAGAUAAUGCAAAAAUAAGAGUUAUUAUUAUUACUGCAAAAUGCGGCUAUGCUGCCAAGGUGCUAUAAGCCUGCAGCUGUUGAUUUUCUCUCCUGGGCUGGAUCUGAGGUUCCUGCUAGUGCCCACCCAUCCCCAGCACCCUCAUCCCUGCCCCUUAUUACACAUCUACUCCUGCCAGCAAAGCAUCUCCCACACAGCAGCCUGGUGAGGCAUGGCUGCUGGUCCUUGCAAUGGUACAUAGCCUAGGCAAAACCCCCAUCAGCAUCAUCUGGAGCUGGGUGAAGCCUUCAAGGAUAGAGAACAGCUUACAAGAGCAGAAGGAACAAGAAUAAUUACCAUUUGGGGGAGCAAGGACAGACCAUCAUUCAAGGGCUCACUACAAAACACUUUUUGUAAAAACCAUUUA